rnacentral:rRNA from 1 species
UACGUAGGGGGCAAGCGUUGUCCGGAUUUAUUGGGCGUAAAGAGCGUGUAGGCGGCCAUGUAGGUCCGUUGUGAAAACUCGAGGCUCAACCUCGAGACGCCGAUGGAAACCAGGUGGCUAGAGUCCGGAAGAGGAGAGUGGAAUUCCUGGUGUAGCGGUGAAAUGCGCAGAUAUCAGGAAGAACACCCGUGGCUAAGGCGGCUCUCUAGUACGGUACUGACGCUGAGACGCGAAAGCGUGGGGAGCGAACAGG